GCUGGGUGUGAAUUUAAGACUAUUUGAUUUUCCAGCCAGAGUGGUCAUAGAAUCUGCACAGUGUGGGGAAGCGAGAUAAUUGGCCCAUCCAGUCCACACUGUCCCGCUGAACAGCAUCCGACCCAAACCCAGCCCCCACCUCUUGCCUCUUGUUUUCAGGGCAGCAGCGUGAGCCAGAGUGCUGAGGGGAAGAUGCUGCCGGACCUGCUUUUUUCCAGUAAUUCACAUUUUGUCAAGAGAGAUAAUGGGAACUGCAAAAGCUUUUAGUCUUGCUUUCAUCAGGACAGAUCACAAGUGUAUCAAUUCAAGGAGAAACCUGACAUUUAUACUGCAUAAGAGAACAGCUUGAUUGGCAACUGGACUCAAGCUGGUAAAGGAUGCUUCAAUUAAUGAUGAUUGACAUAAUCAUCACAAGCAUAAUUAAUCAACAAUUAUGCACGUUUCAGAAUUUCUCAUGUUAUGUGAUUACUAAGUGAAUACAUGGAGGUUUGUUUGUUUCUUUACUGUAAUACACCAUGUUCUUGUGUUAAAGAAACAUUGGCAGCCCGAGUAAAUAUGUUUGGUGACUAACCACCAUGAUGAAACAAUUGCCAAAAUAAAAUUUAUGAUCUAUUGAACUGGUGCUACAACUCUAGUA